CCAGAUCGUUUACCGUGAAAAAAUUAGAGUGUUCAAAGCAGGCAGAUCCAAUUUUCUGCCACCGAAUACAUUAGCAUGGGAUAAUGGAAUAGGACCCUGUCCUCCUAUUUUCAGUUGGUUUUGGCAGCGCGAGGACUAGGGUAAUGAUUAAUAGGGAUAGUUGGGGGCAUUAAUAUUUAAUUGUCAGAGGUGAAAUUCUUGGAUUUAUGAAAGAUUAACUUCUGCGAAAGCAUCUGCCAAGGAUGUUUUCAUUAAUCAAGAACGAAAGUUAGGGGAUCGAAGACGAUCAGAUACCGUCGUAGUCUUAACCAUAAACGAUGCCGACCAGCGAUUAGGAGACGUUGAAUACAAAACACCACCAUCGGUGCGGUCAUCCUUGGC
rnacentral:rRNA from 1 species